rnacentral:rRNA from 1 species
AGAGUUUGAUCCUGGCUCAGGACGAACGCUGGCGGCGUGCUUAACACAUGCAAGUCGAACGAGAAUCUACUGAAGGAGGAUUCGUCCAACGGAAGUAGAGGAAAGUGGCGGACGGGUGAGUAACGCGUGAGGAACCUGCCUUGAAGAGGGGGACAACAGUUGGAAACGACUGCUAAUACCGCAUGAAGCAUAGGGGUCGCAUGAUCUUUAUGCCAAAGAUUUAUCGCUUCAAGAUGGCCUCGCGUCUGAUUAGCUGGUUGGCGGGGUAACGGCCCACCAAGGCGACGAUCAGUAGCCGGACUGAGAGGUUGAACGGCCACAUUGGGACUGAGAUACGGCCCAGACUCCUACGGGAGGCAGCAGUGGGGAAUAUUGGGCAAUGGGCGCAAGCCUGACCCAGCAACGCCGCGUGAAGGAAGAAGGCUUUCGGGUUGUAAACUUCUUUUAAGAGGGAAGAGCAGAAGACGGUACCUCUAGAAUAAGCCACGGCUAACUACGUGCCAGCAGCCGCGGUAAUACGUAGGUGGCAAGCGUUGUCCGGAUUUACUGGGUGUAAAGGGCGUGUAGGCGGAGAAGCAAGUCAGAAGUGAAAUCCAUGGGCUUAACCCAUGAACUGCUUUUGAAACUGUUUCCCUUGAGUAUCGGAGAGGCAGGCGGAAUUCCUAGUGUAGCGGUGAAAUGCGUAGAUAUUAGGAGGAACACCAGUGGCGAAGGCGGAUUGCUGGACGAUAACUGACGGUGAGGCGCGAAAGUGUGGGGAGCAAACAGGAUUAGAUACCCUGGUAGUCCACACUGUAAACGAUGAAUACUAGGUGUGCGGGGACUGACCCCCUGCGUGCCGCAGUAAACACAAUAAGUAUUCCACCUGGGGAGUACGAUCGCAAGGUUGAAACUCAAAGGAAUUGACGGGGGCCCGCACAAGCGGUGGAUUAUGUGGUUUAAUUCGAAGCAACGCGAAGAACCUUACCAGGGUUUGACAUCCUGCUAACGAAGUAGAGAUACAUUAGGUGCCCUUCGGGGAAAGCAGAGACAGGUGGUGCAUGGUUGUCGUCAGCUCGUGUCGUGAGAUGUUGGGUUAAG